rnacentral:sRNA from 1 species
GUCGUGAGAUGUUGGGUUAAGUCCCGCAACGAGCGCAACCCUCGUCCUAUGUUGCCAGCACGUAAUGGUGGGGACUCAUAGGAGACUGCCGGGGUCAACUCGGAGGAAGGUGGGGAUGACGUCAAGUCAUCAUGCCCCUUAUGUCCAGGGCUGCACACAUGCUACAAUGGCCGGUACAAAGGGCUGCUAAGCCGCAAGGUGGAGCGAAUCCCAAAAAGCCGGUCUCAGUUCGGAUCGGGGUCUGCAACUCGACCCCGUGAAGUCGGAGUCGCUAGUAAUCGCAGAUCAGCAACGCUGCGGUGAAUACGUUCCCGGGCCUUGUACACACCGCCCGUCACGUCACGAAAGUCGGUAACACCCGAAGCCGGUGGCCCAACCCUUGGGAGGGAGCCGUCGAAGGUGGGAUCGGCGAUUGGGACGAAGUCGUAACAAGGUAGCCGUACCGGAAGGUGCGGCUGGAUCACCUCCUUUCUAAGGAGCAUCUGGCGACCCUCCGAGGUCGUCCAGGACCAGUGCCGGAUGUGCAUGCCGGCCUGGUGCUCAUGGGUGGAACGCUGACUAGUUCGGCCGUGACAUCGACUGCCACGCAAGUACAGCCUCUUCGGAGGUGGGAACGGGUGGUCAGGAGAUGCCGCGGCCGUAGGCACGCUGUUGGGUCCUGAGGGAGCGGGAGCUCCUUCCGGCCCGAUCGCCCGUCGAACGGCGGCCCUCACACUUCGGUGCGGGGGCCGUACGCGACGGUCCAGGCGACCGGGACCGCCCGUACCUUGAGAACUGCACAGUGGACGCGAGCAUCUUUGUGGCCAAGUUAUUAAGGGCGCACGGUGGAUGCCUUGGCACCAGGAGCCGAUGAAGGACGUAGGAGGCUGCGAUAAGCCUCGGGGAGCUGCCAACCGAGCUGUGAUCCGAGGAUUU